GUAACGCGUGAGAAUCUGCCAUCAGGUCUGGGACAACCACUGGAAACGGUGGCUAAUACCGGAUGUGCCCUUCGGGGUGAAAGGUUAACUGCCUGUUGAUGAGCUCGCGUCUGAUUAGCUAGUUGGUGUGGUAAGAGCGCACCAAGGCGACGAUCAGUAGCUGGUCUGAGAGGACGAUCAGCCACACUGGGACUGAGACACGGCCCAGACUCCUACGGGAGGCAGCAGUGGGGAAUUUUCCGCAAUGGGCGAAAGCCUGACGGAGCAAUACCGCGUGAGGGAGGAAGGCUCUUGGGUCGUAAACCUCUUUUCUCAGGGAAGAACACAAUGACGGUACCUGAGGAAUAAGCAUCGGCUAACUCCGUGCCAGCAGCCGCGGUAAUACGGAGGAUGCAAGCGUUAUCCGGAAUGAUUGGGCGUAAAGCGUCCGCAGGUGGCAAUGUAAGUCUGCUGUUAAAGAGUCUAGCUCAACUAGAUAAGAGCAGUGGAAACUACAUCGCUAGAGUGCGUUCGGGGCAGAGGGAAUUCCUGGUGUAGCGGUGAAAUGCGUAGAGAUCAGGAAGAACACCGGUGGCGAAGGCGCUCUGCUAGGCCGCAACUGACACUGAGGGACGAAAGCUAGGGGAGCGAAUGGGAUUAGAUA
rnacentral:rRNA from 1 species